rnacentral:rRNA from 1 species
UUCAUAAUAACUAAACGAAUCGCAUGGCCUUGCGCCGGCGAUGGUUCAUUCAAAUUUCUGCCCUAUCAACUUUCGAUGGUAGGAUAGUGGCCUACCAUGGUCUCAACGGGUAACGGGGAAUUAGGGUUCUAUUCCGGAGAGGGAGCCUGAGAAACGGCUACCACAUCCAAGGAAGGCAGCAGGCGCGCAAAUUACCCAAUCCCAAUUCGGGGAGGUAGUGACAAUAAAUACUGAUACAGGGCUCUUUUGGGUCUUGUAAUUGGAAUGAGUACAAUCUAAAUCCCUUAACGAGGAACAAUUGGAGGGCAAGUCUGGUGCCAGCAGCCGCGGUAAUUCCAGCUCCAAUAGCGUAUAUUAAAGUUGUUGCCGUUAAAAAGCUCGUAGUUGAACCUUGGGCCUGGCUGAUCUGUCCUCCUAAUCGAGCGCACGGAUUCGGUCGGGCCUUUCCUUCUGGGGAGCCCGAUGUCCUUCACUGGGCGUCGUGGGGAACCAGGACUUUUACCUUGAAAAAAUUAGAGUGUUCAAAGCAGGCCUUUGCUCGAAUACAUUAGCAUGGAAUAAUAGAAUAGGACAGAGGUUCUAUUUUGUUGGUUUCUAGGACCGCUGUAAUGAUUAAUAGGGAUAGUCGGGGGCGUCCGUAUUCAAUUGUCAGAGGUGAAAUUCUUGGAUUUAUUGAAGACGAACUACUGCGAAAGCAUUCGCCAAGGAUGUUUUCAUUAAUCAGUGAACGAAAGUUAGGGGGAUCGAAGACGAUCAGAUACCGUCGUAGUCUUAACCAUAAACUAUGCCGACUAGGGAUCGGACGGUGGUUUUUUUAUGCCCCGUUCGGCACCUUACGA